rnacentral:rRNA from 1 species
AAAUUGAAGAGUUUGAUCAUGGCUCAGAUUGAACGCUGGCGGCAGGCCUAACACAUGCAAGUCGAACGGUAACAGAAAGCAGCUUGCUGCUUUGCUGACGAGUGGCGGACGGGUGAGUAAUGUCUGGGAAACUGCCUGAUGGAGGGGGAUAACUAUUGGAAACGGUAGCUAAUACCGCAUAACGUCGCAAGACCAAAGAGGGGGACCUUCGGGCCUCUUGCCAUCGGAUGUGCCCAGAUGGGAUUAGCUAGUAGGUGGGGUAAAGGCUCACCUAGGCGACGAUCCCUAGCUGGUCUGAGAGGAUGACCAGCCACACUGGAACUGAGACACGGUCCAGACUCCUACGGGAGGCAGCAGUGGGGAAUAUUGCACAAUGGGCGCAAGCCUGAUGCAGCCAUGCCGCGUGUAUGAAGAAGGCCUUCGGGUUGUAA